CAUCGAGACUCCUACGGGAGGCAGCAGUAGGGAAUCUUCCACAAUGGGCGCAAGCCUGAUGGAGCAACACCGCGUGAGUGAAGAAGGGUUCGGCUCGUAAAACUCUGUUGUUAAAGAAGAACAUAUCUGAGAGUAACUGUUCAGGUAUUGACGGUAUUUAACCAGAAAGCCACGGCUAACUACGUGCCAGCAGCCGCGGUAAUACGUAGGUGGCAAGCGUUGUCCGGAUUUAUUGGGCGUAAAGCGAGCGCAGGCGGUUUUUAAGUCUGAUGUGAAAGCCUUCGGCUCAACCGAAGAAGUGCAUCGGAAACUGGGAAACUUGAGUGCAGAAGAGGACAGUGGAACUCCAUGUGUAGCGGUGAAAUGCGUAGAUAUAUGGAAGAACACCAGUGGCGAAGGCGGCUGUCUGGUCUGUAACUGACGCUGAGGCUCGAAAGUAUGGGUAGCAAACAGGAUUAGAUACCCUGGUAG
rnacentral:rRNA from 1 species